UUAAUUAAUUAGUUUGGGUUGGCCAUCCGGCAGCCCAAUGGGAUAAGCCGAGCUAGGGUCUUUUGGUCAACAGAUGACGCCACUUUUCAUUGGGCAAGAACACUAAAUGGCGGGGCUAAACCAGCCCUUCCACCGGUUGCCCAUCCCAGCGAAAGGGUCAGCCGGAUGGUGGAGGAGGGGAUGGACGGGUUCAAUGAUAAAUAUUUUCCAGGAGUGGGAUUCGAAACUCGAACCCGGUCCUCCGGAAUGGAGAGCCGAAACGUUUGCAGGCGGCGAGAGCCGGGCGGGUUAUAAAAACUGCUUAUAUUUAACAGUUAUUCUACACUUUUUAGCAAAUGUUUAAUUAAAAUUUCGAUGGGAAUGCGUAUCAAUCUAUUAUAAAAUGUUAAAUUAUUAUAAAUUUAAUGUUUAACCGUUUUUAACAGAGGCGUCUGCUAUUAUGGGAAGAUCCAUAGCCCAUAAUACAGCGCCUAACUCCAUUUUUCUCCCAACUAACAUGGGCGCGGUUAGGGCCGAC
rnacentral:lncRNA from 1 species